rnacentral:rRNA from 1 species
GAUGAACGCUAGCGGCAGGCUUAACACAUGCAAGUCGAGGGGUAGGAGCAGCUUGCUGCUUUGAGACCGGCGCACGGGUGCGUAACGCGUAUACAAUCUACCUUUUACAGAGGGAUAGCCCAGAGAAAUUUGGAUUAAUACCUCAUAGUAUUUUCAGAUCGCAUGAUUUGAUUAUUAAAGUUCCAACGGUAAAAGAUGAGUAUGCGUCCCAUUAGCUAGAUGGUAAGGUAACGGCUUACCAUGGCAACGAUGGGUAGGGGUCCUGAGAGGGAGAUCCCCCACACUGGUACUGAGACACGGACCAGACUCCUACGGGAGGCAGCAGUGAGGAAUAUUGGACAAUGGGCGCAAGCCUGAUCCAGCCAUGCCGCGUGCAGGAAGACGGUCCUAUGGAUUGUAAACUGCUUUUAUACAGGAAGAAACACCUCUACGUGUAGAGACUUGACGGUACUGUAUG